rnacentral:rRNA from 1 species
CCUACGGGUGGCAGCAGUCGAGAAUCAUUCACAAUGGGGGAAACCCUGAUGGUGCGACGCCGCGUGGGGGAAUGCAGGUCUUCGGAUUGUAAACCCCUGUCAUGUGGGAGCAAAUUAAAAAGAUAGUACCACAAGAGGAAGAGACGGCUAACUCUGUGCCAGCAGCCGCGGUAAUACAGAGGUCUCAAGCGUUGUUCGGAAUCACUGGGCGUAAAGCGUGCGUAGGCUGUUUCGUAAGCCGUGUGUGAAAGGCGCGGGCUCAACCCGCGGACGGCACAUGAUACUGCGAGACUAGAGUAAGGGAGGGGGAACCGGAAUUCGCGGUGUAGCAGUGAAAUGCGUAGAUAUCGAGAGGAACACUCGUGGCGAAGGCGGGUUCCUGGACAUUAACGGACGCUGAGGCACGAAGGCCAGGGGAGCGAAAUGGAUUAGAUACCCUUGUAGUC